AAGUGAUUUCAGUAAACUAGCCAUGUUACAAGCCUUAAAGACAUUGAAGUCAUUAAGGUCCCUGAAAAUGGCUAUAAGA
rnacentral:snoRNA from 1 species